GGGGCCAUAGCUCAGCUGGGAGAGCGCCUGCCUUGCACGCAGGAGGUCAGCGGUUCGAUCCCGCUUAGCUCCACCA
rnacentral:tRNA from 2 species